UACGUAGGAGGCGAGCGUUGUCCGGAGUUACUGGGCGUAAAGGGUGCGCAGGCGGGCAGGUAAGUCCGUGGUGAAAUCUCUGAGCUUAACUCAGAAACUGCCAUGGAUACUAUUUGUCUUGAAUAUUGUGGAGGUAAGCGGAAUAUGUCAUGUAGCGGUGAAAUGCUUAGAUAUGACAUAGAACACCAAUUGCGAAGGCAGCUUACUACACAGUUAUUGACGCUGAGGCACGAAAGCGUGGGGAUCAAACAGG
rnacentral:rRNA from 1 species